CCUACGGUGUGCAGCAGUGGGGAAUAUUGGACAAUGGGCGAAAGCCUGAUCCAGCCAUGCCGCGUGUGUGAAGAAGGCCUUCGGGUUGUAAAGCACUUUCAGUGGGGAAGAAAGCCUUGGGGCUAAUACCCUCGAGGAAGGACAUCACCCACAGAAGAAGCACCGGCUAACUCCGUGCCAGCAGCCGCGGUAAUACGGAGGGUGCGAGCGUUAAUCGGAAUUACUGGGCGUAAAGCGCGCGUAGGCGGUCUGAUAAGCCGGUUGUGAAAGCCCCGGGCUCAACCUGGGAACGGCAUCCGGAACUGUCAGGCUAGAGUGCAGGAGAGGAAGGGAGAAUUCCCGGUGUAGCGGUGAAAUGCGUAGAGAUCGGGAGGAAUACCAGUGGCGAAGGCGGCCUUCUGGACUGACACUGACGCUGAGGUGCGAAAGCGUGGGUAGCAAACAGGAUUAGAUACCCCUGUAGUC
rnacentral:rRNA from 1 species